rnacentral:lncRNA from 1 species
AAUUUUGAUCAUGUAUUCAUCUUGAUUUGACUUUUGGGGUUCCUACUCAGCGUUGCUGAAUUUUCUUUGUUUUUGAUUUUCAGAGCAGCCUCCCUCUAGUACUAAAUCAGAUUUCAGUGGAGAGCGAACCUUCCUCUACUGCUAGGUAGAGCCACUUGGAUGACUCUUGAAGUUAACAUCACUAUGUUUACUUUUCUAUUUGUAAUUUGAUGAAUAAAUGAAUUGUAAUAAAUGGUUAUAGAUGAUGAAUAAAGUGAUGUUUAU